rnacentral:rRNA from 1 species
AUUGAACGCUGGCGGCAUGCCUUACACAUGCAAGUCGAACGGUAACAGGGAGCUUGCUCCGCUGACGAGUGGCGAACGGGUGAGUAAUAUAUCGGAACGUGCCCUAGAGUGGGGGAUAACGUAGCGAAAGUUACGCUAAUACCGCAUACGAUCUACGGAUGAAAGUGGGGGAUCGCAAGACCUCAUGCUCAUGGAGCGGCCGAUAUCAGAUUAGGUAGUUGGUGGGGUAAAGGCUCACCAAGCCAACGAUCUGUAGCUGGUCUGAGAGGACGACCAGCCACACUGGAACUGAGACACGGUCCAGACUCCUACGGGAGGCAGCAGUGGGGAAUUUUGGACAAUGGACGCAAGUCUGAUCCAGCCAUUCCGCGUGCAGGAUGAAGGCCCUCGGGUUGUAAACUGCUUUUGUACGGAACGAAAAGGUUUCCAUUAAUACUGGGAGCUCAUGACGGUACCGUAAGAAUAAGCACCGGCUAACUACGUGCCAG